UACGUAGGGUGCGAGCGUUGUCCGGAAUUACUGGGCGUAAAGAGCUCGUAGGUGGUUUGUCGCGUUGUUCGUGAAAACCGGGGGCUUAACCCUCGGCGUGCGGGCGAUACGGGCAGACUUGAGUACUGCAGGGGAGACUGGAAUUCCUGGUGUAGCGGUGGAAUGCGCAGAUAUCAGGAGGAACACCGAUGGCGAAGGCAGGUCACUGGGCCGCAACUGACGCUGGGGAGCGAAAGCAUGGGGAGCGAACAGG
rnacentral:rRNA from 1 species